UGCGUAGAGANNNGGAGGAANACCGGUGGNGAAGGCGGCCCCCUGGACAAAGACUGACGCUCAGGUGNGAAAGNNNNNGGAGCAAACAGGAUNAGAUACCNNGGUANUNCACGCNGUAAACGAUGUCGACUNGGAGGUUGUUCCCUUGAGGAGUGGCUUCCGGANNNNNNGCGUUAAGUCGACCGCCUGGGGAGUACGGCCGCAAGGUUAAAACUCAAAUGAAUUGACGGGGGCCCGCACAAGCGGUGGAGCAUGUGGUUUAAUUCGAUGCAACGCGAAGAACCUNACCUACUCUUGACAUCCNGAGAACUUAGCAGAGAUGCUUUGGUGCCUUCGGGAACUCUGAGACAGGUGCUGCAUGGCUGUCGUCAGCUCGUGUUGUGAAAUGUUGGGUUAAGUCCCGCAACGAGCGCAACCCUUANCCUUUGUUGCCAGCGNUNCGGNCGGGAACUCAAAGGAGACUGCCAGUGAUAAACUGGAGGAAGGUGGGGAUGACGUCAAGUCAUCAUGGCCCUUACGAGUAGGGCUACACACGUGCUACAAUGGCAUAUACAAAGAGAAGCGACCUCGCGAGAGCAAGCGGACCUCAUAAAGUAUGUCGUAGUCCGGAUUGGAGUCUGCAACUCGACUCCAUGAAGUCGGAAUCGCUAGUAAUCGUAGAUCAGAAUGCUACGGUGAAUACGUUCCCGGGCCUUGUACACACCGCCCGUCACACCAUGGGAGUGGGUUGCAAAAGAAGUAGGUAGCUUAACCUUCGGGAGGGC
rnacentral:rRNA from 1 species